rnacentral:rRNA from 1 species
AAUGAACGUUGGCGGCAUGGAUUAGGCAUGCAAGUCGGGGGAAUCCCAGCAAUGGGGGAACCGGCGUAAGGGGCAGUAAGGCAUGGGUACCUACCUUGGGGUUCGGGAUAGCCAUCAGAGAUGGUGGGUAAUACCGGAUGACGUCGUGAGACCAAAGAUUUAUCGCCCUUAGAGGGGCCCAUGUGAUAUUAGCUAGUUGGUGGGGUAACGGCCCACCAAGGCGAAGAUGUCUAGCGGGUGUGAGAGCACGACCCGCGCCACUCGCACUGAGAAAAUGGCGAGACACCUACGGGUGGCUGCAGUCGAGGAUCUUCGGCAAGGAGCGCAAGCUUGACCGAGCGAUGCCGCGUGAGCGAUGAAGGCCUUCGGGUUGUAAAGCUCUUUAGUGGGGGAGAAAAGCCGCAAGGUGUGAUCUAUCCCAAAAAUAAGCACGGGCUAAGUUCGUGCCAGCAGCCGCGGUAA